rnacentral:rRNA from 1 species
GACGAACGCUGGCGGCGUGCUUAACACAUGCAAGUCGAACGGAAAGGCCCUGCUUUUGUGGGGUGCUCGAGUGGCGAACGGGUGAGUAACACGUGAGUAACCUGCCCUUGACUUUGGGAUAACUUCAGGAAACUGGGGCUAAUACCGGAUAGGAGCUCCUGCUGCAUGGUGGGGGUUGGAAAGUUUCGGCGGUUGGGGAUGGACUCGCGGCUUAUCAGCUUGUUGGUGGGGUAGUGGCUUACCAAGGCUUUGACGGGUAGCCGGCCUGAGAGGGUGACCGGCCACAUUGGGACUGAGAUACGGCCCAGACUCCUACGGGAGGCAGCAGUGGGGAAUAUUGCACAAUGGGCGGAAGCCUGAUGCAGCAACGCCGCGUGCGGGAUGACGGCCUUCGGGUUGUAAACCGCUUUUGCCUGUGACGAAGCGUGAGUGACGGUAAUGGGUAAAGAAGCACCGGCUAACUACGUGCCAGCAGCCGCGGUGAUACGUAGGGUGCGAGCGUUGUCCGGAUUUAUUGGGCGUAAAGGGCUCGUAGGUGGUUGAUCGCGUCGGAAGUGUAAUCUUGGGGCUUAACCCUGAGCGUGCUUUCGAUACGGGUUGACUUGAGGAAGGUAGGGGAGAAUGGAAUUCCUGGUGGAGCGGUGGAAUGCGCAGAUAUCAGGAGGAACACCAGUGGCGAAGGCGGUUCUCUGGGCCUUUCCUGACGCUGAGGAGCGAAAGCGUGGGGAGCGAACAGGCUUAGAUACCCUGGUAGUCCACGCUGUAAACGGUGGGUACUAGGUGUGGGGUCCAUUCCACGGGUUCCGUGCCGUAGCUAACGCUUUAAGUACCCCGCCUGGGGAGUACGGCCGCAAGGCUAAAACUCAAAGGAAUUGACGGGGCCCCGCACAAGCGGCGGAGCAUGCGGAUUAAUUCGAUGCAACGCGUAGAACCUUACCUGGGUUUGACAUGGAUCGGGAGUGCUCAGAGAUGGGUGUGCCUCUUUUGGGGUCGGUUCACAGGUGGUGCAUGGCUGUCGUCAGCUCGUGUCGUGAGAUGUUGGGUUAAGUCCCGCAACGAGCGCAACCCUUGUUCACUGUUGCCAGCACGUUAUGGUGGGGACUCAGUGGAGACCGCCGGGGUCAACUCGGAGGAAGGUGGGGAUGACGUCAAGUCAUCAUGCCCCUUAUGUCCAGGGCUUCACGCAUGCUACAAUGGCUGGUACAGAGAGUGGCGAGCCUGUGAGGGUGAGCGAAUCUCGGAAAGCAGGUCUCAGUUCGGAUUGGGGUCUGCAACUCGACCUCAUGAAGUCGGAGUCGCUAGUAAUCGCAGAUCAGCAACGCUGCGGUGAAUACGUUCCCGGGGCU